rnacentral:rRNA from 1 species
AUUGAACGCUGGCGGCAGGCCUAACACAUGCAAGUCGAGCGGGGGUAGCAAUACCCUAGCGGCGAACGGGUGAGGAAUGCUUGGGAAUCUGCCUGGUAGUGGGGGGAUAACGUUCCGAAAGGAACGCUAAUACCGCAUACGUCCUACGGGAGAAAGGGGGGGAUCUUCGGACCUCUCGCUAUCAGAUGAGCCCAAGCGGGAUUAGCUAGUUGGUGAGGUAAAGGCUCACCAAGGCGACGAUCCCUAGCUGGUCUGAGAGGAUGAUCAGCCACACUGGAACUGAGACACGGUCCAGACUCCUACGGGAGGCAGCAGUGGGGAAUAUUGGACAAUGGGCGAAAGCCUGAUCCAGCCAUGCCGCGUGUGUGAAGAAGGCC